CGCUGAAUUUAAGCAUAUCAGUAAGCGGAGGAAAAGAAACUAAAAAGGAUUCCCUUAGUAACUGCGAGUGAAGAGGGAACAGCCCAGCACCGAAUCCUUCAGCUUUGAGCUGACAGGAAGUGUGGUGUUUAGUGUGAUCGCUGGAUGUCGGAUUAUUGCCCAAGUCCCAUUGACUAGGGCUCGAUGACCCAAAGUGGGUGUCAGGCCUUUAGUGGCGAUGGUCCGGCGUCCAUUGAUUACACGAAGAGUCGGGUUGUUUGCGAGUACAACCCAAAGUAGGUGGUAAACUCCAUCUAAGGCUAAAUAUGAGUACGAGUCCGAUAGCAAACAAGUACCGUGAGGGAAAGUUGCAAAGAACUUUGAAGAGAGAGUUCAAGAGUACGUGAAACCGCCAGGAGGGAAGCGGGUGAAGCCACAUGGUUGCCGUACGGAUUCAGUCAUGCCGAUUGACCGCUGGUGUUGCUCAUGGAUUUUGCUGUCAUGGGUGAUGCUAGUGAUUGUGCCAGUUGGUCGGUGUGAUGUAUAUUUGUACGUGCGAUGAGUCACGACUGAUUGCUCGGCAGCUAGAAGCUGUUGCUCAUGAAGUCAAUGGGUGCACGGGUCUGCUGUGUGCUUAUUGAUUAUAGGUGACAGUAAUAGUGAUUCUGAGCGAUUGAGGACAGCACUCUCAGCUGAAGCGGUGCGUGCCGUUUUGGUGGCAGGCUGUACGGUCGCGUGGAUGUCGUAUGCGUUGGACUGCUUGCAGGACUGCGUGUGCGGCGUUUGCGGUCAGAUUGUGCGUGUUUUGCCAGAGAGCUUAUGCCCCGCUGUUCAGUGACGCGUUGGUCACUCACCCGUCCCGUCUUGAAACACGGACCAAGGAGUUCAGCAUGCAGGCGAGUCUGAGGGUUGAGCAAAACCCGAAGGCGAAGUGAAAGCAAAGGGGCUCCUCGUGGGCCUGCUAGAUGUGAUCCCGGGUAGGUGAGAGCCUCCUGGGCGCAACAUCGUCUCGUCGUGAUCUCGUGUGGAUACGGCGACGAUUGAGCCUGCACGCUGAGACCCGAAAGAUGGUGAACUAUGCCAGAGUAGGGCGAAGCCAGACGAAACUCUGGUGGAGGCCCGAAGCGAUUCUAACGUGCAAAUUGAUCGUCAGACUUUGGUAUAGGGGCGAAAGACUAAUCGAACCAUCUAGUAGCUGGUUCCCUCCGAAGUUUCCCUCAGGAUAGCUGGCGCUCGUUCGGAGGCAGUAGUACCCGGUAAAGCGAAUGAUUAGAGUGUUCUGGAUCGAAACGAUCUAAACCUAUUCUCAAACUCUAAAUGGGUACGAAGGUUGGCUCGCUUGUGUGGAGUCGACACCUCGAAUGCGUGGAGUGCCAAGUGGGCCACUUUUGGUAAGCAGAACUGGCGCUGUGGGAUGAACCAAACGUCCGGUUAAGGUGCCAAACAUAACGCUCAUUAGAAACCACAAAAGGUGUUGGUUGAUAAAGACAGCAGGACGGUGGUCAUGGAAGUCGAAAUCCGCUAAGGAGUGUGUAACAACUCACCUGCCGAAUCAACCAGCCCUGAAAAUGGAUAGCGCUCGAGCGUUGGACCUAUACCGGACCGUCACAGGAGUGUAAGUAACCUGUGGCGAGUAGGAGGGCGCCGUGGUGAACGUAGAAGCCCAGGCCGCGAGGCCGGGUGGAGUCGCCACGGGUACAGAUCUUGGUGGUAGUAGCAAGUAUUCAAGUGGGAACCUUGAAGACUGAUGUGUGGAGAAGGGUUCCAUGUGAACAGCAGUUGAACAUGGGUCAGUCGGUCCUAAGAGAUAGGAUAAUUCCGUUCUGAGGAAGGGCGCUGCUCAUUGUGUCCGGGUGGUCGCCUCGUCCUAUCGAAAGGGAAUCAGGUUAAUAUUCCUGAACCUGGUCUCGGAGAUCGCCCUCGCAAGGGGGUAAGUGCGGUAACGCAAGCCUAGUCGAUGAUGUCGGCAGUGGUCCCGGGAAGAGUUAUCUCUUCUUUGUUAGGGUUCGUGUCCCAUGGAAUCGGCUUGGCCGGAGAUAUGGGCGUUAGAACCCGUAAAGCACCGCGUUUUAUGCGGUGUCCGGUGCACUGUUGUCGACCCUUGAAAAAUCGACCUGGGCAUAAUGAUUUUCGAGCCAGUCCGUACCCAUAUCCGCAGCAGGUCUCCAAGGUGAACAGCCUCUAGUCUCUAGAACAAUGUAGGUAAGGGAAGUCGGCAAAUCAGAUCCGUAACUUUGGGAAAAGGAUUGGCUCUGAGGACUGAGUCGAUCGGGUUGGUGCAUAAAGCUGGUUAGGAAGUGGUUAGCGGUGGCUGGUCGGUUGCCCGCAAGGGUGGCUUGGCCGUGUUGCCGUUGGCUGUCGACCUUCCAGUGGCGUGUAUCAGCUUUGCGGCCGUUGCCUCGUGUGGCGGUUCGCGUCGAUCGACGCUAAACAGUCAACUCAGAACUGGCACGGACCAGGGGAAUCCGACUGUAUAAUUAAAACAAAGCAUUGCGAUGGCCGUUGUUGGUGCUGACGCAAUGUGAUUUCUGCCCAGUGCCAUGAAUGUCAAAGUGAAGAAAUUCAACGAAGCGCUGGUAAACGGCGGGAGUAACUAUGACUCUCUUAAGGUAGCCAAAUGCCUCGUCAUCUAAUUAGUGACGCGCAUGAAUGGAUCAACGAGAUUCCCACUGUCCCUACCUACUAUCUAUCGAAACCACAGUCCGGGGAACGGGCCGGACAGAAUCAGCGGGGAAAGAAGACCCUGUUGAGCUUGACUCUAGUCUGACAUUGUGAAGAGACAUGAGAGGUGUAGCAUAAGUGGGAGCGAAAGCGAAAUUGAAAUACCACUACUCUUAUCGUUUCUUCACUUAAUCAGUUGUGCGGAAAGAGGCCUCGUUGCCUCGCUUCUGGUGUUAAGUUCUGUUGCAGCCUCGUGCUGUGCGGGACGAUCCGCUCUGAUGACAGUGUCAGGCGGGGAGUUUGACUGGGGCGGUACAUCUGUCAAAUGGUAACGCAGGUGUCCCAAGGUGAGCUCAGUGAGGACAGAAACCUCGCGUAGAGCAAAAGGGCAAAAGCUCACUUGAUUUUGAUUUUCAGUACGAAUACAGACCGUGAAAGCGUGGCCUAUCGAUCCUUUUGACUUUAGGAGUUUUAAGCAAGAGGUGUCAGAAAAGUUACCACAGGGAUAACUGGCUUGUGGCAGCCAAGCGUUCAUAGCGACGUUGCUUUUUGAUCCUUCGAUGUCGGCUCUUCCUAUCAUUGCGAAGCAGCAUUCGCAAAGUGUUGGAUUGUUCACCCACCAAUAGGGAACGUGAGCUGGGUUUAGACCGUCGUGAGACAGGUUAGUUUUACCCUCCUGAUCAAGUUUGUCGUUGCAAUGGAAAUCCUGUAUAGUACGAGAGGAACAACAGGUUCAGACAUAUGGUACAUGCGCUUGUUCGAAAGAACAAUGGCGCGAAGCUACGUCUGAUGGAUAAUGACUGAACGCCUCUAAGUCAGAAUCA
rnacentral:rRNA from 1 species